AUGGCUAGAGGUGGGGUUGCUGGCUCCAGGUGGGGUGGUGAUAGCCACAUCACAGAUGGUGCCAGAACCAAAAGAGAUAAAACGUACGAAAGGAGGGGGCAGGAAGUAAUGUCCUCUUCUGACUCCUUUGUGGUUUCGUUAGGUCCUGUCCAAUGCUUUCCACGCUGGAGGGACCAGUUUACUCCCCCGCCACGGUGGAGGAGAGGGCCUGUCCUCCUUAGCUUCCAGCUAGAAUCUGAAACUCUGGUCCCUUUAUCCUGCCUGUCUCUAUGCCAGUUUAGGGCUGAUGCCACCCAGCCCCCCACAAUGCACAGAUAACAGGCUCCUUUGUCCCGGCCUCCUGGUUCCUCAUUUGCCUUUCCUGUACUUGAGACCACUAGACAGUCGCUGAGCAGCCACCAACUUCCUGAGCAGUCCCUUCGUGUGCUUCUGAUGUUCCCUUUGCUCACCCAGAACCCGAGUGGUUGCGACUCUCUUACUCCUCUGCUCCGCUUGGUUUCUUGCAGUGAUCCUUCAUUGGGUUGGCUUGCUCUCCGUACAUUUAGAAUUGCUCUAAAAGUACAGCGGUUCGUUAUUUUCAGCCCUCCUCUGCCUUGGGGGACUUGAUAAAUGACUUCUUGUUUUACAUUGUUUCAUCGGGGCUCUCUUCUGAGUUNNNNNNNNNNNNNNNNNNNNNNNNNNNNNNNNNNNNNNNNNNNNNNNNNNNNNNNNNNNNNNNNNNNNNNNNNNNNNNNNNNNNNNNNNNNNNNNNNNNUGCCUUGGGGGACUUGAUAAAUGACUUCUUGUUUUACGUUGUUUCAUCGGGGCUCUCUUCUGAGUUCCCUUCUCUUCAGUGUCUUGGUGGCAGCCCUGUCUUCUGCCAAAAGUCUGUGAAUCCUCUAUCCUUGCGUGAAAGUUGUUUGGGACUCCGUAUUCCUAUAGUGUUCUUUGUUCUAAUUCUCUUAUGACUACUUUUCACAAAAAUCUGCAGAUAUUUUAGGAAAUGCCCUUUGGUUAUGAAUAGCUUCACCUCUCACAGUACUUUCCUUUGAACUGUUAAAAGUCAAUGGGGGUGGUUUUUCUGAGCUAGAUGGGUGGACUUUCUGUGAUUAUUUGUUGGGCAGGACCGAAAUUGACAUGCAAUAGCUGUUUCCCAUCGUGUGAUUCUUCCUAAGACAUACACCAUCUUUGAUGAUGAAUAUGGGACCAUUUCAUCUUGAUCCUACAGAUGUACUGUCAUUUAUCCUGAGGUGCAUCGGUGCUCUAGGUAAAUGUGACUGUCUUAUUCUUUAUUAAUUAUUGACUCUCUCUGCAGUUGCCACUUCUUUUCCAUCCUUCAUCAGGUUUUGAAAUCACACUGUAGGCAGCAUCCCCUGUGUGCCCAGCACAGUGUCUGGUUAGCUCUGCAGUCAAGACCCUUUCCAAGGGCCUGUGUUGUGCUGGGCUCUGGGUAUAGCCCUGGCAGGGUGAGCAAGGUCCCUCCCUGCCUUCACACGAUGUGUAUGGCCUUUUACCUACACUGUCUUUUGCUUUUAAUUCUUUCUCCAGUUGAAUGGUAUGUUACAGAUGAAGACACUGAGGCCCAGAUCAGAGCUAGUGAGUUGUAAAAUGGUGACCUCAGCCCAACUCCAAAAUCCAUGUAGUUUUCCUCCCUUGCAUGCCAAGUCCCCAUCUGAUGUAGAGGGCUUCAGAGUUGUGAAUACAAGGCGGGUGGUGGGCUGGGGCUGGAGAGACCAGCCUCCUCUGCUCAGGUCUCCCUUCAGUCCACAUGUGUUUAUCAGGAAGGGUCUGCCCUGUGCUGGAUGCUUCAAGUGACUUCCCUGGAUCCCACAGCACUUCUCUCAGCCUUCUGUCCUGCUGCAGAGGUGCCUGAAGCUACAGCACAUGCCCGGAAGAGGGCAGGGAGUAUAACAUUCUCUUCGAUUCUUAUCUGAGAACGAACAAGGAGCUACAAGUUGCAAGUAGACUCUUAGGACCAAGGGCCCUUUUUUUAGAAUACAGUUUUGAAAUGUUUAUUCUUUCCUUUUGAAAGGGCUUCUGUAGGUGUGGUGGGCUGACACAAAGGAGCAGUCACAGAACAAGGUCAAGUGUUCAAUUUCUGGACCACAAGCCUCACAGGUUAAACUUUGUUGACAUGAUGGAAUUUUUUAAAGAAUAGCAGGAUCCCAGAGCAAGGCCUCAAAGGAAGGCUCUCUGGGGAAACCUCUGUUUAGAAACUGAUCCUCAACCAUUGAACAGCUUGGAAGCUGGGAAACAGAGCUCUUUCUGCAUCUCUCAGGCCUUCGGAAUUGCUAAUGAACACAUGUCUAAAUGUCCCUUAUAAUGUGGCUUCUGCAUCUGUCCCGUGGAACUGGUCUGCUGGCUUCAGGGGCUAGACUGGAUCAGUGAUGAAAUUCCGGCUGCUGAACCAGAUGUGGAACUGCCUUGUUAAACUGGAGUCUUCUUGGCUCAGGCCCUCAUCAUCCCAUAGCAACUCAUGGAAAUACUGCUUCUUCCCAAGUAUAAACGUUCCUGCGAGGCCUAACACGUUACAAAAGUCGCUCUGAUACAUUUGUCAUCCUGACAGUGCUGGGAGGUACUUGAUUUUAUUCCCACUUUGCAGAUGAAGACGUAGAGGCAGAUAAAAUGAUUUCCCCGAGGUUUACUGCGCUGAUGAAGUGGCAUUAGGAGUGAACUUGGGCCUUCUGACAUGAGCUCGUACUCUUCCCUACCCUGUGGGAAUGAGGUGGGAGAUGCCCUGACUCCGGAAGCCUGUCUGGGGACCCCUGUUCUGGUCAGAAGUUGUUUUAAAUUUUUUAAAUUUAAUUUAAGAAAUUUAUUCAUCCCAGUUCUACGUGAGUAUCCACUGUGUUCCUAGCUCUGUGCUACAUAUCUGUGCUCUGUGCUGGGUCCCACACAAGCUAGCACGUCGCUAGACUCAGGUACUAGAGAUGAAUGAAAAACUCUCGACUUACAGGGAGCUGACAUCUAAGCAGCCAGUCACAAUACAGAGCGAAAUGCAACAGAGGCCAGAACAGAGGAACAAAGCCCUGAGUUUCUGAGACACUAAGGAAGGGGAGUAGGAAAAUCUUCACUGAGACUGGCAUUUGAGCUGAGUUGUGAAGGAUGAGUGAAUAGUAUUUUAGAAAGGAGAAUUUGGAAAGGCAGGGUGUUGGGAAUAAUUUGACAUGUUUGGGAAUAUGUGAUUCAUUGUGGCCAGAGCACUGUGUGGGACCGAGGGUCUCAAAGUUUAAUGUGCUUAAGAGGCCCACCAGGGUGUACCCCCAAAGACUCCAGUGUGGAAGGUAAGAUCUGGGGUAGAGUCCAGGAGGGGCGCCGGCCAGGGGAGCAGGCGCAGUAGUGUCCCACGCCGAGCAGACAGCCGCUUCGUCAGGCUUGACCACCGUGCUCGGGCGAUUUGCAGGCUGUCCUCUUGACAGCUGUGUUUUGCGGGCUUCCUCAAACAUAGUUUUGAUCAGGUCCCUGUCCCGCUCCCGUGUGCUGUCAGUUGGCAGGCUUGGUGAUGAGCCACAGAAGCUGGCUUUGAGUAGCUCAAGUAGAAAAGGAGUUUAUUGGCAGGAUGGUGUGUGGACUGAUCAGAGAAGCGGGAGAGCCAGACCAGGAACACGGGCCAGAGCCAAGGGCAGCUCGGCAGCAGAGUCCUGCUAAGGAGAGGCCGGAGCAGCCUGUUUAGGACCCGCCACCUCGGUGGCCUCUGCU
rnacentral:lncRNA from 1 species